UUGCAACUACAUAAGAAGUGGAGUUUGGAUUACAACCUCCUGGUUCACAGUUCAGCAGUUGCCUAUGCUUGCUCAUUCUUGCUACAGGCACCUAUGAUUUACAUCUCAAACCAACUGGAUUGUAUAUGCCAUCUGUGGGUCAUCGCCUGUUAUCUGAGUUUAUCACCAUAAGAGCUGGUCCUUAUCUUAGCCUCGGGGUUGAUUUCAGAUCCUUGGAUGGGAAAGCAAAGAAUCGGCGUCUCUUGAACUGGAAAUAAACACUUUUGAUCUGAUAACAGCAGGUCUGUUGCUAGGCAGGCAGGAAAAGGAAGUCUCCUCCUUGCAGGAAAUGGGUCUUGGAAUACCUUUCUCUAAUCAUGCCAGCCAUCUUUUUCCCUUUUUUGGAAAUCUCAGCUGCCCACCCAUCCAUGGCAGAGCAGGCGGCCCCAGAUUACUUCUGAACCGAUCUUUUAUCGAUGCUUCCCUUGAAAUGGUAAUGUAUUUUUCAGCAGGAGCUCAUGACAUUUCUCAUUUUUCUUCAGAGAAUGAAGUCUCUGGGCAGGAGUUCUUUUUCAUCAGCCGAAUUCUCAACACUCCAAAAGCUACAUGACAGAGUUGGCACCGGGUUGUUUUAUUUCCUGAUACAGUGGCUUAUCAGCACCCUCCUCCCCAAACAGUACUUACAAUGUGAAAUGCUCCCUCCAUCUGAAAUUUCAGCAACAGGAAAGCUUGAUCUGCUGAAUUGCCACCUGCCAAGAGAGAGAGAGAAGUGGAGCCUGACAGUAAGACUAAAAAGAAAAUUCAAGUCUAGAUAUCACAUGGACUCUCUUUGGGCUAUGAGGUGAAGCCUAAAUUAGAAAGAUUAAUGCACUGUAACCUGCUAAAUUACUGGUGCAAUAAAUAUAUAUAAUUACUAA